UGUAGCUCAGCUGGUUGAGAGCUUGCUUGGCAUGCAGGAAGCCUAGGUUCAUUCCCUAGCA
rnacentral:tRNA from 1 species